rnacentral:rRNA from 1 species
ACACGUGGGUAACCUGCCUGUAAGACUGGGAUAACUCCGGGAAACCGGGGCUAAUACCGGAUGGUUGUUUGAACCGCAUGGUUCAGACAUAAAAGGUGGCUUCGGCUACCACUUACAGAUGGACCCGCGGCGCAUUAGCUAGUUGGUGAGGUAACGGCUCACCAAGGCGACGAUGCGUAGCCGACCUGAGAGGGUGAUCGGCCACACUGGGACUGAGACACGGCCCAGACUCCUACGGGAGGCAGCAGUAGGGAAUCUUCCGCAAUGGACGAAAGUCUGACGGAGCAACGCCGCGUGAGUGAUGAAGGUUUUCGGAUCGUAAAGCUCUGUUGUUAGGGAAGAACAAGUGCCGUUCAAAUAGGGCGGCACCUUGACGGUACCUAACCAGAAAGCCACGGCUAACUACGUGCCAGCAGCCGCGGUAAUACGUAGGUGGCAAGCGUUGUCCGGAAUUAUUGGGCGUAAAGGGCUCGCAGGCGGUUUCUUAAGUCUGAUGUGAAAGCCCCCGGCUCAACCGGGGAGGGUCAUUGGAAACUGGGGAACUUGAGUGCAGAAGAGGAGAGUGGAAUUCCACGUGUAGCGGUGAAAUGCGUAGAGAUGUGGAGGAACACCAGUGGCGAAGGCGACUCUCUGGUCUGUAACUGACGCUGAGGAGCGAAAGCGUGGGGAGCGAACAGGAUUAGAUACCCUGGUAGUCCACGCCGUAAACGAUGAGUGCUAAGUGUUAGGGGGUUUCCGCCCCUUAGUGCUGCAGCUAACGCAUUAAGCACUCCGCCUGGGGAGUACGGUCGCAAGACUGAAACUCAAAGGAAUUGACGGGGGCCCGCACAAGCGGUGGAGCAUGUGGUUUAAUUCGAAGCAACGCGAAGAACCUUACCAGGUCUUGACAUCCUCUGACAAUCCUAGAGAUAGGACGUCCCCUUCGGGGGCAGAGUGACAGGUGGUGCAUGGUUGUCGUCAGCUCGUGUCGUGAGAUGUUGGGUUAAGUCCCGCAACGAGCGCAACCCUUGAUCUUAGUUGCCAGCAUUCAGUUGGGCACUCUAAGGUGACUGCCGGUGACAAACCGGAGGAAGGUGGGGAUGACGUCAAAUCAUCAUGCCCCUUAUGACCUGGGCUACACACGUGCUACAAUGGACAGAACAAAGGGCAGCGAAACCGCGAGGUUAAGCCAAUCCCACAAAUCUGUUCUCAGUUCGGAUCGCAGUCUGCAACUCGACUGCGUGAAGCUGGAAUCGCUAGUAAUCGCGGAUCAGCAGGCCGCGGUGAAUACGUUCCCGGGCCUUGUACACA